AACGCUAGCGGCGUGCCUAAUACAUGCAAGUCGUGGGAGAAAGUACCUUCGGGUGACGAGUAAACCGGCGAACGGGUGAGUAACACGUAAGCAACUUACCUUCAAGUUCGGGAUAACUCGGCUAAAGCUGGGCUAAUACCGGAUGUGGACAUAUGUCCUCAUGAAUAUAUGUCUAAAGGCAACCUCUACCUGUAAGUUGUCGCUUGAAGAUAGGCUUGCGGCCCAUUAGUUAGUUGGUGAGGUAACGGCUCACCAAGGCAACGAUGGGUAGCCGGCCUGAGAGGGUGAUCGGCCACAUUGGGACUGAGAUACGGCCCAGACUCCUACGGGAGGCAGCAGUAGGGAAUAUUGCGCAAUGGGCGAAAGCCUGACGCAGCAACGCCGCGUGAGGGAUGACUGCCUUCGGGUUGUAAACCUCUGUUGAGUGGGAAGAAACUUUGUGCCGUUAAUAGCGGUAUGAACUGACGGUACCGCUCGAGGAAGCCCCGGCGAACUACGUGCCAGCAGCCGCGGUAAUACGUAGGGGGCGAGCGUUGUUCGGAAUUACUGGGCGUAAAGAGAGCGUACGCGGGAGAGUAAGUUAGGAGUGAAAUGCAUGGGCUUAACCCAUGGUCCGCUCUUAAUACUGCUUUCCUUGAGUGUAGGACGGGAAAGCGGAAUUCCGGGUGUACGCGGUGGAAUGCGUAGAUAUCCGGAAGAAUAUCAAUGGCGAAGGCUGCUUUCCUGGCCUAUUACUGACGCUGAGGCUCUAAAGCUACGGGACCGAACAGGAUUCGAUACCCUGGUAGUCCUAGCCGUAAACGUUGGGCACUACAUGUUGGAGGGUUCCCUUC
rnacentral:rRNA from 1 species